rnacentral:lncRNA from 1 species
AUGGGGACAGGGCCGGGACAUGGGGACAGGGCUGGGACAUGGGGACAGGGCCAGCCCCCCCAGGCACAGGCAGGCAGAGCCACCUCUGUCCCUGCACGCACCCAACCCUGGGCUGCACGAGCCCCGAGCACCCGCCAGGCGCUGCCCCCUCCUUGGGCAUGGGACGGCCCAAAAGAGCCGGGCACCACGAGCCCCGUGGGGCAGACCCAAAGUGGAACCGCAGGGGACUGGUGGCCAGGGCGUGGGGACACCCCGGUGCUGGCCGUGGCCACGCAGACACCCUGGCACGGACACACCGGGACACAGAGUCCCUCUGGGACACGGACCCCAUGGACACGCUCCCCCUUGCACAAGGCCACCCCGGGACAACCCCCUGGACUCGGACCCCCUGGACACGUUCCCCUCGCACAAGCCCACCCCGGGACACCCAACCCGAACCCCCCCGGGACACACGGCGCCCCCGGACACAGCCAGCACGCGGGGCCUGGUGCCACGUCUCGGCUUUAUUGGCAGGUGUUGCGGGCACAGCAGCAGGGCCGUGUGCGGGCGCGGUGGUGCGGCGCUGCGCGGGGACGGCGGGGACGGCUCAGUAGCGGCGGCUGCGUCUCCCGCGGCGGCGGCGGCGGCUCCUGCUGCGGGUCCUGCUGCGCCGGUAGCUGGCCAUGCUGGGCUGGGGGCGCGGCUGCGGGACGCUGCCCUGCUGAUGGCGGGCCUGCACCGGAGGCAGAGGCAGCGCGUGGCAGCGGGCUGUGCGCGGGGUGGCCCCGGCAGCGUGCGGUGCGCCCUGCAGUGCUGCUCGCAGACGCUGCACAGGUUCCUGUCCCUCGCCGUCACCGUGGCCUUCUGCGACCUCCUGCUGCACGCCGCCUUCCUCCUCCUCUUCCUCCUGCUCCUGCCCGUGUUCGUGCUGCACGACCACGUGCUGCCCGCCCUGCUCGCCCUGCUGCGCGCCAUGCUGCCCGUCGCCGACGUCUUCCUCAACGGGCUGCUGCUGGCCCUGGCUGCCUUCCUCACCGCGCUCUUCCCACCCACCCUCAUCCUCCUCUGCGGCACGCAGCUGCUGCUGCUUCUGGCUGCCCAGGCCCUGGCCCUGCUGUGGUGAGGGUCCCGUGGCUCAAUACAGCCCCGGCACUGCCACGAGUCCGCCUCCUGCUUGCGCCUUCCAGGGGGCUUCGUGCCUCGUGCUGCAGCCUCUUGGCCUCACCAGCGAGUGUCCCCGGUGUCCUGCCACGUGCUGGGGACAGUGGCUGGGAGGUGACCGGGCACUGGCAGAGCCCGGAGGGAUGUGGGGCAGCGGUACUGGGGGUGGGAGGACCGCAGGGUGCUGAGGUUCUGCUCCCAGAGCCAGCACUGGGACGUCCCCAGGAACACCACGGCACGGCCACGUCCCUGGGACGCCACAGGUCCCACCUCACCCCCUCUCCUCCUCUCCCAGCACACCGUCUGGAUCCAUUGCUGGGGGGUCAAGGGGUGAGACCCGAUCGGAUCCCACCCUUGGGUGCUCCCAGCUGCACAGCUCGAGGCUGCAGGAGGGGGCUGUCCCCUGGGGGUGCUCCAGCGUCACCGCACUGCGGUCCCUCCCCGAGCACCCUGCGUGCCCCCUACCCUGUUCUGUGGGGGCUGGGAUGCGGGCACUGGGUGCUGCUGUAACGCUGCCAGGAGGGGCCGUGUGUGGGGAAGGGGAGGUGGGUGCUGUGUCCUGUGGGUGCUGUGCCCUGCAGGCCCCUGCCCAGGCCCCCGGUGCUGUGCCCCCGCCUCUCCUGCAGCAGGAGAUGAUGAGAAAAGUUCACCGUUAGCAGCGCGUUAACAGGAGCCGCUGCCUCCCCCUGCCCCGCUGCAGCAAAUGGUGAUAAAUGGGUUCCAUAUGGUUCCCAUAAAGGCAGCGAGUGCCACAUGCCUCUCCCCUCUGCCCCAGCCGUAAGCAAAUAAAUUAAAGCAAUUACUG